UACGUAGGGUGCGAGCGUGUCCGGAAUUAUUGGGCGUAAAGAGCUUGUAGGCGGUCUGUCGCGUCUGCUGUGAAAAUCCCGGGGCUCAACCCCGGACUUGCAGUGGGUACGGGCAGACUAGAGUGUGGUAGGGGAGACUGGAAUUCCUGGUGUAGCGGUGAAAUGCGCAGAUAUCAAGGAGGAACACCGGUGGGCGAAGGCGGGUCUCUGGGCCGAUACUGA
rnacentral:rRNA from 1 species